rnacentral:rRNA from 1 species
GACGGAGGGUGCUAGCGUUGUUCGGAAUUACUGGGCGUAAAGGGCGCGUAGGCGGCCUGGGAAGUCGGCUUGUGAAAGCCCGGGGCUCAACCCCGGAGGUGCGGCCGAUACUCUCUGGCUGGAGGCCGGAAGAGGAGGGUGGAAUACCCAGUGUAGAGGUGAAAUUCGUAGAUAUUGGGUGGAACACCGGUGGCGAAAGCGGCUCUCUGGUCCGGACCUGACGCUGAGGCGCGAAAGCGUGGGGAGUAAACAGG